rnacentral:rRNA from 1 species
UACGGAGGGUGCAAGCGUUAUCCGGAUUCACUGGGUUUAAAGGGUGCGUAGGUGGGUUGGUAAGUCAGUGGUGAAAUCUCCGAGCUUAACUUGGAAACUGCCGUUGAUACUAUCUGUCUUGAAUUAUCUGGAGGUGAGCGGAAUAUGUCAUGUAGCGGUGAAAUGCUUAGAUAUGACAUAGAACACCAAUUGCGAAGGCAGCUCACUACGGAUAUAUUGACACUGAGGCACGAAAGCGUGGGGAUCAAACAGG